ACAACCUUCAACGAUGGAUCUCUCGGCUCCGGCCUCGAUGAAGAACGCAGCGAAAUGCGAUACCUAAUAGGACUCGCAGACCCCCUCAGUGAAUCAUCGAGUUUUUGAACGCACAUGGCACCCGCCAGCAUUCUGGCGGGUCUGUCUGUCCGAGCGUCGUCUCACGUCCCCCGGGCCUUCGUCCCGGCGUUGGGGCAUGCGGGAGGCCCCUUGCGGGGCGCCCGCAGCCCUCAAAUACAGUGGCGGUCCCGCAGCACGCAGGCGCUGGUACGCAGUAGAUUCGUCACCGUACCGGACACGCACCUUGCGGGACCCUGCCUCGACGGCGGCGGUCUCCUCCCCCCCGUACGGGGAGGGAGGGGGUUCCCUCCUUUUUAGCACCGUCGACCUCGGAUCAGACAGGGUUACCCGCUGAACUUAAGCAUAUCAAUAAGCG
rnacentral:sRNA from 1 species